AGUACCGUAACAAACCAAGACGUCUUCAGUCUGUUUUAAACCACUGUAGAUGUACUGGAAUAUGUAGGAGGUACAUAUAUAAGUACGCUUAGUCACUAAAGUAGGCCACAAUUAAAAAUCAACAAUUAAAUUAUUUACGCUAACGAGCACGACUGUAUGCGUCUGAAACUUAUGGAAUCUAUCAAACAAUUGUACAAUGUCAUAGUUUGUAAUUUAAGAUUGCAUUUUUGUCUAUGUUUAUUUUCUGUCUGUGACAAGCCCUUGCUAUAGGGAAAAGCAUACAAAACCAUUUUAUUUACGUUUAAUUGAGAUAAACACUCAAAGUAUUUAAUUACUGUUUCAACAGUGGCAUUUCCUCUUCUCCCAAUUAGUACAACCAGAGUAGUAGUUGGACAGUAACUACUGCUUAAUAUUUUGUCUAAUAUUUGUUUAUAAGUAGCUUCAGGCAUAAUACGAUAGUUUGUUAUCGUCACCUAAAUAUUGAUAUAAUUUGUGACACAUGUUUUGUCCAAUUUCAUCGCUAAACAUUACUAUUUUGUUGCAAUUAUUAUUUUCAUUUUGUAUUAAUCUUAUUGUUUUUUUUGUGUGUCGAAGGAAGUACUUUUUUUACAACCAUUCAAUUUAAUACAAUGAGAGGAUUGAUGAGAAUCAUCAAACCCUGAACAGCCUGGCAGAUCUUGUUCAAAGCCUGGUUUUCGAUUGCGUGUCAAUGAAUUAAACAUUUUCUCAUUCUCACUACACAGAUUCAAAAAGCUGUUCAUUGCCAGUAUGUACUCACCCAUUUCUCUUUGUAAGGUUUCAUAUUUGUAAUUGUCACUAAUGAUUCUUGUAAAUGGAGAAUCCUUGACUGCAGAUGCUCCAUAUCAACCUCAUAUUCUUUUUUACUAUUAUGGAAUUUUAAUUGUAAUUUUUUACAACUGUUAAAUGAUUUGUGGUUUUUGGUGAAAUUAUUUUUGUUACUUUUAAUUAAUUUUUGGGACUUUUUGUUAAAUUUAUUUAUUUUGACAUCUUUUUUAAAUUUGUUUUUGCUGCCAAUGAUUUGCUUGACCAAAGCUAUUGUCAGUUGUCAGUUCAAUAGUCACAAUUUGAGAACUUUUCAAGAGUGAGUCAGCAGACCGCACCGGAGUGGUACCAACCAGUUCCUCAAACAGUGCAUUGGUUUGCUCUGUUUGAAGUUUCUGGCUGGUGCUCUCCAUCCUAAUAAUAGUGUCCUGGGCCUCACUCAACCUACACUUCAGUUCAGCGUUGUGUUUGAGAGUUGUGUCAAUCUCAUCGCUGCACCGGUCAAACUGGUCAACAAUGUGUUGUAGCUUAUCCCGUUAUUCUGUGAUGUUUACUAAUUGACAGUCCAGUUCUGCCAUCUCAUUCUUUAGUUUACUAUUAUUGUUUAAAAUAUUAAGUACUUCCUUCUCAUUGUCAUCCUGUUCCCUCUGUAGAACCCCACACAAAUUCUUAUAUUUCUUAAGUUCCACUAGUGUUUGUUGAAGUUUAACUUCCUCCAAACGUGCAGUGGCUUUCCUGGUCAUUAUUCUUUCCAUUUUGCACAAAAAAAACAAUAACUCAGGUAGAUGUUUAUGAAAGUGUUUAAGUUUGUGUGAGAAACUAUUUUCUAGGCACUAUUAGGCUGCGUUUCCACCAGAGAUGUGCGAGGAUGCAUAGCGAGGGAUGUGUUUGUAAAGAACCAAUAGGAUCGCUUCAUUUACCUUGCCUCGGUCAGCACAGCUCUGGUGGAAACGGCUCAGCGGAGCUAGAUUUUUGCGCAUACAAAACAAGCGCGGGAUGUGUGCGAGGGAUGUGUACGAGGGAAGUGUGCGAGGAAUGUGUGUUGAGAAAGAUGUGUUGCGAGGUUUGCGCAUACUGUACCAGCCAGUCCAUAGACGGAGUUUGUUGGAAGUAGAAGUGCGCAAAAUAGAUAAUAAUAUGGAUAAUUGGAAAAAGAAAAUACUUUUAUAUUUAACAAUUUGUGAUGAAGAAAUGGAAGCAGAAGAUACGGAGUUUAUUAGUUCUAUAAUUUUGAGCAAUACAAGAACACACAGGUUUUGGAUACGUAACCAUAUUAAAUAUCAUCGAUUACAUGGAGAAUUCUUUACCUUUUUUCAUACGGCUGAUGAUGAAAUAUUCGAAAAUUCUUAUCGAGUAUCUAGAAGUAACUUUUAUGAGUUACACAAUUUGAUUGAGAACAUUAUCAAGAAAGAAGACACUCACUACAGAGAAUGCAUCAGCACCAAGGAAAAAUUGGCGGUAUGUUUAAAGUAAGUAAAAUAGUUUGAAUCAAUUUUGUCUUUAUUAAACAUAUUAAUUGAAAAGUAAUCAUAAUCUGCAAAAUAAGUAGACAACAAGUUCCUCUUUUUCAUGGCAAAUUAGGCUCUGUUCCUACUUUGUUUGAAGUAUUUGGCGUUUGUAGGUCUGAAUGUUGUGUUCCCGGAGAUGCUGGUUGUACAGCUUCCAGUUGGAAAGAUGAAUCCAUCUGGCCCACUGUUUUAUUUGUAUUUCUACCAGAGCUUGAAGAAUAACCAAGUUGUUCAGGAUCCAGCUGAGGCGGCAAAUCCAUCUGGCCUGCUAUAUUACUACCUACUGCUAUACUGCUAUCAGAGCUUGAAGAAUAACCAAUAUUUUGAUUAUACCACGACAGCACGUAAGAUUCUUCGGCUUCGCUAAUCAUAUUAAAAAGUUUCCUUUUUAAAGGAACUUGCAUGUAAUCUGGUAAUUUUUUAAAUGUUUUCGCCAUUGAAAGAAAAAAAUGAUCAGUAUCAUCGCAGUCCGUUGGUUUUAAAAGUUCUCUUAAUUCUUGCCUUUCUUUUCGAAAAUCUUCUUGAUUUUUCAUAUGUUUUUGUAUUAAAAUUGAUAAUUCAUCGCCUUUUUUCUUCUUUGAUGAUGACGGGGUGACCGAAUCUGUUGAAAUGCCUGAAGUUGAGGCUAUUUCGUAAAGAUUGUUGGGAUUGUCAGCUUGAUUUGGUGUAUGUUCAGUGCUCUGCGAAGAGUCAUCUUGGUUUAAUGAAUAUUGAGUGCUUUGCGAAGAGUCAUUUUCAUUAUUUGGUGACGAAAUAUCCUCUUUAUAACUUGACUCUCUAUCUCUGUUGGCCAUGUACGGUAAAAGAAAUUCCAUCAAUUUUUGGUAUUUCCAUUCACGUGUUUUGGUUGUAGCCUGUCCGCUUUUUUUAGAUUUCUGCCUCUUUAGCGCGUCCCGAUGGCUAUCCCGUAGUUGUUUCCAACGAUACUUAGCGCUUUUCACUGAAAUAAUAGAAAAUUAUGAUUAGGAAUAUAACAUUUUUAUACCAAGCAUGUUGUCUUACAGAUCGCAAAAAAUCAGUAACAGGUAUUUAUCCACGGGCUCGUCGUUCACACGAUUGGCAGAAAAUUUUAGGAUUGGAGUAGCAAGUGUGUCGAGAAUUGUGGCAGAAGUUUGUAAUGCUCUUUGGCUUGUUUUACAACCUCUUGUUAUUCCAAAACCUACCAAAGACGACUGGAAGCGAAUAGCAAAGGAUUUUCAAGAGCUAUGGCAGUUUAAAAAUUGUUUGGGGGCUCUAGACGAACCUGAACCAUUAUAUGAAGGAGGUGAACCAGUACCAUUUGUAUUCAUUGGAGAUGAGGCUUUUCCUUUGAUGGAAAAUUUCAUGCGCCCAUAUCCGCGGGACCAGUUAGACCAACAGAAACGUAUAUUUAACUAUAGACUUUCGAGGGCACGUCGCAUUGUAGAAGCUACAUUCGGUGUAUUGGCACGAAAGUGGUAUGUGUAUCGUAAAGACUUUGAAUGCAGAGUGGAAACGGUUGACAAAAUCGUAAAAGCCACAUGUGUAAUGCAUAAUUUUUUAAUUGAAAGACAAAGUAAUUAUUUGGAUUGCAUUGAUAACACAAAUACAAGUACUCUUGUAUCGGUUCCUAGCAUUUCCGUCGUCGUGUCAAGUGAUAGUUAUGAUGUAAGAGAGAAAUACUGCUCUUAUUUCAAUAAUCAAGGAAAAGUGUCAUGGCAAGAUACUCGUAUUUCGUCACGAAUUCAUCGCACACAAUAAAUACCCAAAUAUUGUAACUUGUAUUUUAAUAUACCUGAUUUUAAUACAUGAUUAUUACUUACCAUCUUUA